CAAUGCUGUUAAAGUGAUGAGGGCCAACAACAAUUGUGUAAUCCGCCAGAGUGCGUCUGCCAUUAUUCUCUCCAGCCAUCUUCUUAGUACUCUGGUCAGAUCCUUGCGGUAAGGGUUGUAAAUGUGUCUCUGGAGAAGGAAAAAAUUCUCUAGAUGUUCUGUUUCUCCUUCUCCUUCUAGUUCCACUCAAUCCUUCAAGAAGAGGUUUAAAGUUUUUCUUCCUCCUAGUACAAAUUGUAUCAUGCAUACACAAGAAAACAAAACCCUAGAAAGCAAUUAUUAGAACAAAAAUAAAAACAAAAUAAAAAAAAAUCAAGUCAAAGUUAAUCAAUAAUCACACAAAUAGAAUAGUU
rnacentral:lncRNA from 1 species